UUGUCUGUUGUAAAUCCUGCCCACUUGUUUGCAUUGUGACACAUGCUUCAGUGCUCUGAGAGUGUUUAUAGUGCUGUGAGUUUAACACUUCAUGACUGAGAGCAGAACAGAACACAAUCUUCAUCAUCACACAAGACAAAAGAACAACAAUGAACACAAUCACCUUCUUCAUCUGGACUCUCACACUGUUUAUUCAAGAAUCCAGAGGAGUGACUCUGACUCAACCUGAAGUUAAAACUGUCCAACAGGGUCAAACAGCUUCAAUAGAGUGUCAUAUAGAUGUAGGAAUAUACAGCAACUACUUAGCCUGGUAUCAGCAGAAACCUGGAGAAGCUCCUAAACUCCUGAUAUUAUGAUAUAAACAGCCGUCCAGUACUGGAACUCCAUCUAGAUUCAGUGGCAGUGGAACAGCAAAUACUGGACGAGAUUUUACUCUGACCAUCAGUGGAGUCCAGACUGAAGAUACAGGAGAUUAUUACUGUCAGAGUUGGCACAGUGGUGAUGUGUUCACACAGUGAUAAAGAGUGGUACAAAAACCUCGGUCAGUCAGACGUCACAGUGAUGCACUGAUACAGCUGAGAGAUACUGCAGCUGCUGAUGGAGGAUCACAAACAACACAAUGGUGUAUCAAACCUUUCAGAGACUUUAUUUAUUAUGAUGUAUAUGUAAAUGUAUACGUAAGUAAACAUGUAACAUACAGUCUUAUAUCCUUUACUAAACUGGAUAUACCAGCCUGAUCUCACAAUCAAAACGUACAUAUUUAGACGUAAAUUAAAACUGUCCAAUACGUAUGUGCCUUUACGUAUUUACAGUGUCUUUUACAUAUUAUCCGGACAUAAUUACAGGUUCGAUACGUAUCUAAAUUUACGUUAAAACAACCUCAAAUACGUACAGAUAGAACGUGUUCUCUGACCAGUCAGUUAUCCAUAGAAAUUUGCUCAUGAAGCUGCUUUUCAAUGCUUAUCUGCUUAAUUUAUGUUAAAUACUUAUUUUGUUAUGAAGCCUUAUGAAAUAUUAACGAUAAACGUUGUGAUUCCGUUGCUAUGAUUUAAAAUAAACAAUAAUCUGACGAAACCAGAAAAGACCGCGUUCCCGACCGGAUUGAUUUCAGAGCUGCAACAGAAUCAGAAUCGCUUCGUGGUUGACGUCUUGUUCUUCUUGGUGAGUUUUUAAUUUAAUUUAAUUUGUUAAUGUAUAUUUGUGAUCUGUUUUAUGAAAUAUAUUCUUAAGUACUCAGCUGUUGUUUUUUUUAUCUGGUAACAAGUGGUUUUUAGCUGGUAAUCGAAAAAGUGCAUCGACUCUGAAGUGAUGCUAGGUUUUAGCAUUGGAUUACGUUAGUCAUUAACACUAAUGGGUAUUAUUAUUAAUCUAAUUUAAAUUAAUGUUUUUGAUGCAUUUGUUGUGUUUUUUAAUUUUUUUUUAAAUUUUCUCAGAUCAAACUUUUUAUGACACUAUGGCGCAUAAUGAUAAAGAAUUAAACGAACUUCUCAGAAAAGGACGCGCUGUUGCUGUAUCCCUCGGAAGCGUUUAUGAUCGCACCCAAAUGGAUGCUGUCGUUAAAGAAGGCCACACUGACCCUGCCAAAAUGAACCUGGAUCAAUGCAUCAAACAAGGUCAAACAGUUAUUAAAAGUCUUGACAAUGCGAGUUCAAUAAAUAACCUGGAUCAUCUUUUACAAGAGUCCAUCGAGCUGUUUGGACAACCAAACCAAAAUGGCCCAAAGGCAAAGAAGAAAAAAAGGACCCAGUCCAGUGGUAAAAUCAGAUAUAAAAUCAGAGAGAAGUCACGUCCAAAACAAGCAACGCCUUCUACUUCACAUGAUUCAAGAGUUAAAUCAAGGCCAUGUCUAAAGCCAACAGAAUUUCAUCAUGACCAGGGUCCAGAUCAUGGUU